rnacentral:lncRNA from 1 species
UCUAUAAAUAGAAGACCCCCUUCUCAUACCAUAACACAAUAGCAUCCACAAUGUAGUAUUAAAGAGUCUUUGAUUAGAGGGAGAUUUCUCCCAAUAGGUUUAAUGUUUUUUUAUAUUUGGUUUUAUAAUAUGUAGGCCGAUUGGCCAAAAGAUAUAAUAAUUUAAUGCUUUUUAGUAUUGUUUUCUUUGUCGUCUAAUUUAUCGUCUCAUGAUUUGCAAACUUUAAGCUUCCGUAAGACGUCCUCUCGAUUUCGAACCCAACAAGUGGUAUCAAAGACUAUGGUUCAAAGAUCCAGUGGUUUGGUAAAGCGAGGUUGAAGAAAAGUCCAAGGCAGUUCUAAUCAAUUUGCAAUCAAUUGGAUGAUAAUGAAGAUUUUGUUCAUCUACUUUUAGAUAUUUCAAUCAUAUUUUCAACAAUCCUGCUGUCACAUCUUUGAAAAUAAAACUCUCUUUUAAUCAGCUUCAAUAUUUUUAAUCCAAAAGGGAUAAUAUAUUUUUAACCUAAAAGGGCUCAAUUUUUAAGCAUGACAAACAUCAGAGAUAAAUGAAGAUUAUGUGAAAGAACCAAAAUUAUGCAUAUGACAAGAAGAAGGCAGGUCAAGUCAAGAAAAUCAAGUCAAAAAGAGGAGAUUUGUUAAGAUUUUUGCCCCGAUUUUCUUACCAACUUUAAGUUUUACUUUUUCUUGUAAGAAAAAUAAAAAUAACCAUAAAUACUUUUACUUUUCCUUAAAGGAAAAUGUAAAAUUUUUUCAUAUUUGGCAAACCUCUUUCUUGGAAGAAAGGUUUUGUACAUCUAUAAAUAGAAGACCCCCUUCUCAUAUCAUAACACAAUAGCAUCCACAAUGUAGUAUUAAAGAGUCUUUGAUUAGAGGGAGAUUUCUCCCAAUAGGUUUAAUAUUUUUUUUAUAUUAGGUUUUAUAAUAUGUAGGCCGAUUGGCCAAAACAUAUAAUAAUUUAAUGCUUUUUAGUAUUGUUUUCUUUGUCGUCUGAUUUAUCGUCUCAUGAUUUGCAAAAUUUAAGCUUCCGUAAGACGUCCUUUCGAUUUCAAACCCAACAAGUGAUAUCAGAGACUAUGGUUCAAAGAUCCAGUGAUUUGGUAAAGCGAGGUUGAAGACAAGUCCAAGGUAGUUCUAAUAAUUUGCAAUCAAUUGGAUGAUAAUGAAGAUUUUGUCCAACUACAUGUGGAGAAGAUAUUUCAAUCAUAUUUUCAACAAUCCUGCUGUCACAUCUUUGAAAAUAAAACUCUCUUUUAACCCUAUUUAGGGCUCCAAUAUUUUUAGCCCAAAAGGGAUAAUAUAUUUUUAACCCAAAAGGGCUCAAUUUUUAAGCAUGACAAAUAUCAGAGAUAAAAGAAGAUUACGUGAAGAACCAAAAUUAUGCAUAUGACAUGAUGAAGACGGAUCAAGUCAAGAAAAUCAAGCCAAAAAGGGGAGAUUUGUUAGGAUUUUUGCCCCGAUUUUCUUACCAAAUUGAAGUUUUACUUUUUCUUGUAAGGAAAAUAGAAGUAACCAUAAAUACUUUUACUUUUCCUUAAAGGAAAAUAUAAAAUUUUUUCAUAUUUGACAAACCUCUUUCUUGGAAGAAAGGUUUUGUACAUCUAUAAAUAUAAAACCCC